rnacentral:lncRNA from 1 species
AGACAUUUACCACGGUCACUACAUCCGGCAGCGGGGUGGCCCCUAGCUCCUGCUGCCCCCCCGCCCUUUCUCCCCGCCCGCCCCCGGAGCUCAGCCGAUUUCUGAGGCUCCAACUCUACCCACUCCCUCCCCGGGCCGCCGCCGCCGCGCCUUCCCCCAUUCUUACUCCCUCGAGGAGAGCCACAGGUUGCAAAUCCAACCAACCUCGCAAUCUAUUUUUGCAAAAUCACUCACAAAGAUCUCCCUUUCGCGCCCGCGCCCGCUCCUCCCGCGCCGGGUCCCCUCAGCCACGGCCACAAAGUGCCCUUCUCUCCUCCUGAGUCUUGCACAUAAGGAACGCGGGCUGGGGCUCUGUUCGUCUUUCUCCUCGCCCAAGAUACACAUAGAAAACUUGGAGCCAAAGCAUUUGGCAAGAGCGGAAAAAAAAAGAAUUAAAAGGUAAAAUAAUGAUCAUGAGCAGCGGCGGCGGCAGCGGCACCAGCGGCAACAGCGGCGGCGGCGGCAGUAGCAGCAGCAGCGGCGGCAGCAACAGCAAUAAUCACCUGGUGUCCGGCCUUUCCUAGAAACUUCUUGCAUCACCACUUCUAAGAACCCCAGUUCUAAGAAUCAACAGAGCUCAAUUCUCGGAAUUUGAGCUUCGGACUUUACCACUGCUACGUGGCAGGGGAGGACUUGGUGUCAGCUCUCCGAGAUUUUUACUGCCCCUGGCCAACCAAAAGCCCUCAAAGCCACAAGAUUUUUUCACUGGCCGGCAUAUUUCGAGGUCCUCAUAAGCAGAGCGUCUCGGAUUUGGAGGUUCCGGUUCGAGGCUCGAGGGGCCUGAAGGUGGCUCUCCCUCCCCGGGCCCAAGACGAUGGUAUGGCCUGCUCCGCCACCAUCACGUGGGCUCCUCCUCUGUGACGUCGGCGCCUUCGCUGUAGCAAAGCUCGGCCUCUGGAAUUCUGAGAACUAAUUUGCUAUUCGGUGACAUAAGAGGGGGAGUGCGCUUUGCUUUCCCGGGGUCUGGGGCUAAUUCCUUCUUUCUUACCCAUAAACUCAGCAGAUCGAGCUAAAUGCACAAAAGGGAGCGAGAGGUUUGAACCACUGGGAAAAGUAUGUUAUAUAUAUAGUAGGGUUAGAGAGGCGAGUAAGAGAAAAAUAAAAUAAAAUAAACAUCACA